GUUGCCAACUCCAUGGAGUUUUGGAGUUGGGGUGUUUAGCUGAAUUUGUUGAUAGAGUUGCUGGAGUUUAGGAGUGGAGUCGUGCCAAACAGGGCCUAAGACUAUUUACAACUUAGGAGCGUUAUUAUAUGCGUAAUGAUAGCAACAACGAGAUAGACAUCGACUAUUGGGCUGCAUUUUGUCGAUUUCCUUGGCUAAUAUCCUACUACACAACUUGAUAAAUCAUUCUUGGGAGAAAACCAUUCAAAAGAGAAAAAAAAAUCUCGGGAAACGGACAUCACUCGUGCGAAAAUAAUUCGAAAACGUGCCCCGAUAUACGAGAUUUUUUGUUACGGUUUUCAUUCCCACGUUUAAUAUUGCAUUUUGUCCGGUUGGUAUUAGGAGCAUCGGCAUCAACAUCAUCAUCGGCUCUCCCAUUGAACACAGAAGUCUUAGAAGACAUCCUUGCACCAAGCCGACAGCCGUCGUCUAGCCAAGAAAAUAUUUCGGAAAAACCAUCAGCUGAGGAAGAAUCAAUUCAAUGAGAAACAACCCCAUCGGCCAUGGAAUGACCAAAUCCAAGGAUAAAAGCCGACGAGGAAGACCCCAAGCCGAAACUAAGCAGCAAAAAGCUCCUGUCUAGGCCAUCAAUCCAUCAACAUAGGCUCUUUUCUCAUUCAACGUAGAAGAAUAUGCAAAUGAGGAACAAAUCAGCUCGAGCCAUCCAUCACAAGAUCAACCAGAUAUCCGAGAUCAUCUACCGGCUAUUCUAUAGUUACUUCAUCAAGAUACAUCCAUCUUGCUAGAAGAUGCCUAGCCGAUCCAGAUGCUAUGCAAGCAGAUUAGGACCCCAUUGUCUGAUGACUUGGUAGCAGCACUGACUCCUGCGUCUUUUAUUGAAUCGCAUGGCUUCCAAGUCCAGGAAGCCAGAAAGCGCAUAUCGGAUCGGCAAGCUAAUCAACAUGCUGCCACCCAACUGGAUGCCAAUCGGCUAAAGGCCAAUGAGCUAAAUCAAGAAGUUGAUGGGCUUAUCACAUCCCUAUCUAUCGAAGAACAGAAGUUCAAGACCUUAUAGGCCAAACGGGAUCAACUGAUGCAUGAGCUAAGUCAAGUAAAUCAAGAAAUCACAGCAACCAAGGGCAAUAUCAAUGGCUAUCCUGAUGAGGACAACCUUUAGUUGAUAGAGAUUCGCCUGCGUGCGGUACAAGCCAUUGAAAGGACCCUAUAAAAGAACAAUUAAUUCUCUUUGAAUUUGUUCAUAACUUGUGUGCAAUUAUUUUAUCCUUCAAUAUUAUCUUUACUUUUCCUGAACUGACCUAAUGAAUCUUUUUACUACUUUAGGCCAAGCCAGUCGUCACGAGAAUACUAUUGCCCCUGGCGAGUUGUAAAGGUUGAAAGAUUCCUGUUAUUAUUCCUCACGAGCCCUUUGUAUUGUUUUGGCCGCAUAUCAUCAUACUUGCCAUAAAUAGACCACCAGCACUAGCAACUUCCCUGACUCAAGAACAUGGCUCAAAGGAUAGAACUCAUAGGCUGGAAGCUCGUAGUAUUUGAUACUCAUAGAAGACCCAAAUCCAUCAGAUGCUAGAAGAAUUCUCGUGAAAUAGAAUAAGAUGCUUCUUCCCUUCACAUCCUCUUCUGUGAAAUAUGGAAGUUACGAUGCAAGAAGAAUCCUCAUGACGUACCUCCAUUACCAUCUCCAGCGAGCUCCUCGAAGAUGCCGUGAUAGAAGGACAACAUCUCUUGUCAAACUUGCACUUUCUUUUGUAUUUUCUUUUUAUUUUUGUUAUAAAGGCGAUAUCCCACGAUAUCAGCUAUCUAGAAACGCUGAGUGUAAUCAUUGGCUUCUGUAAUCCAGUACUUAUGAAAAAGCUCACACGAUAAAGCUUUUCUUGUUAUGC